GGGAGAUAAUUCUUAAAAACAACAUGGCUACCUUCUGAAUAAUUUUGUUUGUCGUAAGUCAGUCCCCAAAAAUAACAACAUGGCUACCUUCUGAAUAAUUUUGUUUGUCGUAAGUCAAUCCCCAGCCACAACAACUUUCAUUGUGACAGUGCUAAAAUGUCUUUUAUAACUAAACAUAUGUUGAAACUACCUUCAGCGUUUAGAUCAUGUGUCAAUUUCAAUAGUUUUAGUUCUUUAUGCUUGAGACAGUCAUUGUUAAUAGGAUAUUCACCAUGUCAAAAGAAAUUAGAACAAAAUGCAGUAAGUUAUUCUGAUGGAAAGAAUAACAUAUUGUCAUAUCAACCAAAGUCAUUUCAAACAAACAAUAAAAACAGUUGUUCAGUUGGGUGUGCAGAAAUGUUUCACACAAAUUUGAUAAAAAGAUAUUACUCUUCAAGCUCCUAUUCUGAUGAAUUUAACACUCCAUCACCAUAUAAGAAACCUGGUCCUAGAAAUUAUGGUUAUAAAACAAAAACUUUUACAGAAGGACUCCUUCCACGAUCAGAAGAAGAGAAGAAAUUUUUGCAGAAAUAUAAACCUAAAGAUUCUUGGAAUAGGCGGAGAGCUUUAUUUGGCCAAAAUGAUUACAUAGAUAUAUUAGGCGAUGAAGGCAUACAUCCAGUUAAUCUUAUUAAAGGACCACCAUGGUUAGUUGGAUUUAAUGGUAAUGAAUAUCAAAGACUUUCUAGAAGAAUGAAAUUUGAACGUGAGGAACUGAAACAUUUCUCUCCAGACAAGUAUCAUAAUAUUAAGAAAAGAAUGUUUUAUCUAUUUAAGAAAUAUAAUCAAAGAAGAGUGUCAAGAUGGAAAUAAGAGAUUAUUCAGAUACAUAUUUAAUAUUAGCCUUUUAAUAUUAGCCUAUCAGAAUCAGGUGCCAAUGAGUUGACUACAAAUGUUGACUGAUCACUAAUAAACUUUAGUCCUAGUGUUUUUGGAAGUAAAUAUAUUUACUGUAUGCUAAAAUCAUUAUAUUCAUAUUUACUGUGUGCUAAAAUAAAAUAUACAUGUAUUAAACUGUGUAA